GCAAUGGUGGUUCAGUGACAGAAUUCUCACCUUCCAUGUGGGAGACCUGGGUUUGAUUCCCAGCCAAUGAA
rnacentral:tRNA from 1 species